UUAUAUACUGACUCAGGUAUCUAGUCCCUCCUCCCUUAGUUAUAUACUGUCUCAGAUAUCUAGUCCCUCCUCCCUUAGUUAUAUACUGUCUCAGAUAUCUAGUCCCUCCUCCCUUAGUUAUAUACUGUCUCAGAUAUCUAGUCUCCCCUCCCUUAGUUAUAUACUGUCUCAGGUAUCUAGUCUUCCCUCCCGUAGUUAUAUACUGUCUCAGGUAUCUAGUCUUCCCUCCCGUAGUUACAUACUGUCUCAGAUAUCUAGUCCCUCCUCCCUUAGUUAUAUACUGUCUCAGAUAUCUAGUCUCCCCUCCCUUAGUUAUAUACUGUCUCAGAUAUCUAGUCCCUCCUCCCUUAGUUACAUACUGUCUCAGAUAUCU